UCCGUAGGGUGCAAUCGUUAAUCGGAAUUACUGGGCGUAAAGCGAGCGCAGGCGGUUGUGUAAGACAGGUGUGAAAUCCCCGGGCUCAACCUGGGAACUGCACUUGUGACUGCACGGCUAGAGUGCGUCAGAGGGGGGUGGAACUCCACGUGUAGCAGUGAAAUGCGUAGAGAUGUGGAAGAACACCGAUGGCGAAGGCAGCCCCCUGGGAUGACACUGACGCUCAUGCUCGAAAGCGUGGGGAGCAAACAGG
rnacentral:rRNA from 1 species